rnacentral:rRNA from 1 species
UACGGGGGGGGCAAGCGUUGUUCGGAAUUACUGGGCGUAAAGGGCUCGUAGGCGGCCAACUAAGUCGGAUGUGAAAUCCCCAAGCUUAACUUGGGAACUGCAUCCGAUACUGGAUGGCUUGAAUCCGGGAGAGGGAUGCAGAAUUCCAGGUGUAGCGGUGAAAUGCGUAGAUAUCUGGAGGAACACCGGUGGCGAAGGCGGCAUCCUGGACCAACACUGACGCUGAGGAGCGAAAGCCAGGGGAGCAAACGGG